rnacentral:tRNA from 1 species
GGGCCCGUAGUCUAGCCUGGAUAGUGCGUCAAGCACCCGGAGAGGACACAAGCCUGCGGAGCUUGCGGCCCGGGUUCAAAUCCCGGCGGGCCCGCCA